GAUGAACGCUGGCGGCGUGCCUAAUACAUGCCAGUCGAGCGAACAGACGAGGAGCUUGCUCCUCUGACGUUAGCGGCGGACGGGUGAGUAACACGUGGAUAACCUACCUAUAAGACUGGGAUAACUUCGGGAAACCGGAGCUAAUACCGGAUAAUAUAUUGAACCGCAUGGUUCAAUAGUGAAAGACGGUUUUGCUGUCACUUAUAGAUGGAUCCGCGCCGCAUUAGCUAGUUGGUAAGGUAACGGCUUACCAAGGCAACGAUGCGUAGCCGACCUGGGAGGGGGUACGGCCACACUGGAACUGAGACACGGUCCAGACUCCUACGGGAGGCAGCAGUAGGGAAUCUUCGGCAAUGGGCGAAAGCCUGACGGAGCAACGCCGCGUGAGUGAUGAAGGUCUUCGGAUCGUAAAACUCUGUUAUUAGGGAAGAACAAAUGUGUAAGUAACUAUGCACGUCUUGACGGUACCUAAUCAGAAAGCCACGGCUAACUACGUG
rnacentral:rRNA from 1 species